GCCAUGGGGGCCGCGAUCCCCCCGUGAGGCUUCGGCCCAAGCGUCGCAUCCCUGACCCCUCGCACAAGGAUGCCCCGAUG
rnacentral:ncRNA from 1 species